AAACAGCGGAAUUAAACGAGCGAGAGAAAGCAAUUAAAACCAUUUAAACAUUUCCAAUACAAUUUCUUAAACAAAGACUACCCAGAACUGGUGUCAACUUCACAGACGGUCUAGUAAUACUAUAAAUAAGGUCUGAAAAUUAGAUAUAAUACUAUUUAUCAAAUACGUAAAUGAAACAGGAUGAAAGGAUAGGAGAAGACGCCAAGGCCUGCGGACGCCUGCAGGACUACCUAAGAAUCUCCGACUGGGCUGAAGGCACCCUCCCAAGCUAAGGUCUGAAUGUUGCGACUCCCGGAUCUGCACACAGUGCAGAGUGUAGUAUCAGCACAACCGACCACAUGUGCUGGUAAGUGCCUAGCCUAACCUCAGCGAAGUAUUGUGACGAGGCUAGGACCAUACUACCAAACAAACCUGUGCAGUUAAAGCAUAUAUAUGUAGCAUGUAAUAAUAAAGGAAACUAGUAGUUAAAGAUGGGAAGGGGACAUGCUGUGAGGGAAUAUCAUUUACCAACAGUAACUCAGGAGAAAAGCAUAAAGAACAAUUAAAAAUUCACAGCAGAAAGAAUAAGGAAAUAGUAACAAAUCAAUAUCCACUUUUAUCCUUUACAGUUGCGGCGCGUAACCCGAUCCAAAUCAUAAAAACACUGUUGCGACAUGCAACCCGAUCCAUAUCAUAUAUCACAGUUGCGGCGUGCAACCCGAUCCAAAUAUAAUAUUGUUGUGGCGUGCAACCCGAUCCAAAUAUAAUAUUGUUGCAGCGUGCAACCCGAUCCCUAUAUACAAUUCAGCACCAAUCCCAAAAGAGUACCGACAAGGGAACAAUAAGGAAACAAAAAUAUUCCGGUAAGGGAAAUGACAAUAAGAAGUAAAUACGUCCCGGCAAGGGAAUAAGCUAUAACCAAACUCGUUCCAACAUUUAACUACACCAAAAGGAACCUCAUCUAGCACCAAUACUCAACCAUAAGCAAUUUCCACGAGAUUAAUCAUAAUUCUUGCCCAACAUAGAGAAUCAACAACUUAGGCAUGUGUAAUACUUAUUAAGAACAUAAUGACUUCAAUUUAAGACUCAUGGGCAUGCUUGACACCAACAUAUAGAUACUCGUCACCAUGCCUAUACGUCGUACUCAAUAAAUAACACAUAGCAAAUAGGACACAACUCCUAAUCCCGCAACUUAAGGUUAGACCAAACAUGUACCUCGAUGCCACGAACACAAUUCAAGCCUCAACUAUCACUUUACCUCUUGAUUCCACCACCAAUUCGCUCGUAUCUAGCCACAAGUUACUUAACUGUAUCAAUAAAUGCUAAAUGAAUCAAUUCUAAUGCAUGAAAGUAAGUUUUUCAAUCUUUUCCCCAAAAAGUCAAAAAUCGACCAUGGUCCCACAUGGUCAAAACCCGAGGUUCGAACCAAAAUCCGAUUACCCAUUCCCCCUGUCACACCUCCUUUUUCCUACACCCCAAAAGGGGCAUAUAGGGAAUUUUUCCAAUUUAAGUGACAAUCGAAACGGGAUUAUUUAUUUAUUAAAUUCAGAGUCGCCACUUGGGAUAAUUUUAUGGUGUCCCUAGUCACCGGUUCAAAUCCCGAAUCGAGGAAAAAAUUGACUCUGUUUAACAGUCCGCGCACCAGAAAUUUGGGUAAGGAAUUCUGUUAACCUGGAAGAAGGUGUUAGGCAUUCCCGAGUUCUGUGGUUCUAGCACGGUCGCUCAACUGUUAUAAUUGGCCUAUUAUCUCAUUUUAACACAUGUUUUAGCGUAUAGUUCAAUUUUAACUUUAAACCGCUUUUAUUUAUUUUUUAGGAAAAUUGCAACGUCAUUUAAAAUAUGUCUUGAACCAUGUCACAUAAAUGCACUCGCAGUCCGCAACACAUUUUAUAUAACAUUGUUGAAAUUUGGAUUUGGAUCACAUAAAUGCGCACCCGAGUUUAGGGAGAUGAAUUAUUAACUAGCACGCCUAAAGCAAGCUACGCAUUUGAAUUAUUUUCCUAAUCUUUGAGAUUGUUGCGAGGCCAAAUUUAUGAACAAGAUAUUAUUGGGGAAAAUAGGCUAGCUAACAUGAUCUAUUACUUGGCCAGAUUCCUUAUAGUUCAAAACUCACCCUAUGGCCCAUUCUUAUCCCUUACCAAGAAAGAAACAAUUCCAAUUUUCCAUCUACCAACUUAAAAGCAUUUAUUCAAGAACCAAGACUACAUACAUCACAAUCGAAAUAAAACUAAUUAAAAACAAUUUAAAUGAAAAACUAAGACAUGCUACUCAAACAACAUAGAAUCAUCAAUUAACACGCGCACCAAGCUAUUAUAACACAAUGAAAUGAGAAUAAAAUUGAGAAAUGAACCUUUUUAUUGAUGAACAAAGCUGAAAAUUGCAAAUCAAUCGGGCUAAACAAAGCAACAAUCCUUGGACCGAAAUACCGCAAUUAACAAACCGGAACCUCGACUGACUUAGCCCUUUUCGGGCUAAUUGAAAAGCAAAGUCUUUUUCAAUAUUGUCAGUGGGUCCAACCUCUUUAUCAAUUGCACAAAAUG
rnacentral:lncRNA from 1 species